AUUGAACGCUGGCGGCAUGCCUAACACAUGCAAGUCGAACGGCAGCACAGAUAUAGUUUACUAUAUUGGGUGGCGAGUGGCGGACGGGUGAGUAACGCGUGGGUAUAUAACCUAAAGACGGGGACAACUUGCGGAAACGCGAGCUAAUACCGGAUAAGCUCUGAGGAGAAAAGCUGGGGAUCUGGCGACAGACCUGGCGCUUUAGGAGUAACCUGCGUCCAAUUAGCUAGUUGGUAGGGUAAAGGCCUACCAAGGCGACGAUUGGUAGCUGGUCUGAGAGGAUGAUCAGCCACACUGGCACUGAGAUACGGGCCAGACUCCUACGGGAGGCAGCAGUGAGGAAUAUUGCGCAAUGGGCGAAAGCCUGACGCAGCGACGCCGCGUGGGGGAUGAAGGUUUUCGGAUUGUAAACCCCUUUCAUGAGGAAAGAUAAAGUGGGUAACCACUUAGACGGUACCUCAAGAAGAAGCCACGGCUAACUUCGUGCCAGCAGCC
rnacentral:rRNA from 1 species